GCCUCCUGACCCAGCAGACCCCCAUGAGCCCAGAUCCCUGAGACCUGGUGGCUGCCAUUAUGACAUUCCCCGACUGCAUCUUAGGACCCAAGUCUGACCCCCUGCAGGAUCUGCAGCUGUGUUACAGGAAAGGGGACCCGAUCCAGACCCCAAGGGAGGGUUCUUGAAUCUCGUGCAAGAAACAACUCGGGAUGCAGUUGCUGUGGUUCACACACCUCUGGCAGCUGGGCUCCUUGGGAUCUCCUGACAUUCUGUGCCCUCUGUGCCCUCCUCCCUCACUGCCAUCGCUGUCUUCCUGAGCCUCCUCCUUCUGAAUUUCUUCAUCACCAAGAAGAGGAAUCGCUGUUAGGUAUUUCAGGACAGCCAGGCGGGGGUGCACGUCUGCUGAGAAACUGAGCAAGAGUAUCUGUGCUGAGCUCUGGUGCCACCAGAGGGCGCACGAACCCACCCCUGACCAACUUCCCUCUGAGGUGCCCGAAGACUUCCUCGGGGCAGCACGACGGUGGUGUCAACUAAGUCUUGUUCAUUGGUGAGUAAAAAGCUUCCUUUCCACGGCCCUGAGUGCAGAGAAGAGAGUCUUUAGAGUACUCAGCAAAGGAAGAAAUUCAUCUAGAAAAAUGAAAUCCCCAAAUCCCAUCAU